UCCGGAUAUGUCGAGCGCUCGCGCCAGGGCGUUCAAGCGUCGAAGCCUGCGGAGAGCCGUAAUGGCGAGAAACAGGCGAAAGCGUGAUGACUCAAGUCGGCAAAUUCCAGGAGUCCGUGAAAAGGGAGCUGAAAGCCCGUACCGAGAUCCAACACUGGUGCCCCAAGCUGAGAAGGCUAAGGCGUGUCGGCCUAUGCUAGCUAAGGGAAUUCGGCAAAUUAGCCACGUAACUUCGGGAUAAGUGGUGCCUGCUUCGAAGGAAGCAGGUCGCAGUGACGAGGGGGCUCUGACUGUCUAAUAACAACAUAGGUGAUUGCGAAUCCGUAAGGACUAGUACAAUCACUGAAUCCUG
rnacentral:rRNA from 1 species